rnacentral:lncRNA from 1 species
AAUCAGUUCAGCAGUUACCAUUAAUCUGCAACAGGAAAAAGUGUUAUGCAAACAACGCUGUCACCUUAUUAAAGUAGCUUCUUCCUCCUAGCUAUAAUGGAUUCUCUGCAUGCUAGUCUCCUGUAAAUUCUCCAUCUAAAAAUUCCAUCUUCUAUGUGUUUUGUCAGGGGAAACUCUUCUUGACUUUUGAAACAGCUGGGAGGAGCAAAAUGAUAACCUACUGAAGUGCCUUGCCCUUAACUGAAAUUAUGGCAAAGUAAUUAAAGCAAAAAGGCUUACACUUUGGACUCCUUAUGAUGGUGUUUUUUGAAUGGGUUAUAAGUAUCAUUCAGACACCAGUCUUCUGAGAUGGGAAAGACCAGUGAUGAAAAGACCAGUGAUGUUUCUCCAGUCCUUUCUGAAGAUAUUAACUGUAAGACCUCAGUUCCUGUCUUGCAAGAGUUUGGGCAUCACAGAGCACAAUAGGUGAAGGCAUGAAGAUCAACACUGAGAAAACAUGCACGUGCACAUAGGAUAAUGUCAGUGUCCCAGUUGUGCACUUGCAUGGCUAGGUAAAACAGAGCAAAACAAAACAAGAAAACAACCCUAAGGUAAAGUUCUCAUUAAGCAUUGUUUGGGCUGUCUAGAAGCAGGAGAUCUUCUCUACCACCUACUGGAAUUUGUUGGAUGAUUUGGUGUUGUUAUAGGAAGUAUUUGUCAGUUACUUUUUUUUGAGACAAUAAACACUGUUAGAGGCUGAAUAAAUUCUGUAGC